rnacentral:sRNA from 1 species
CCGCAGGUUCAUAACAGUAUGCACUAAUCAAUUUUGCUAAGGUAUCUUUUUGUCACUUGGCAGGCAUGUGUGGCUGGGAGAUACUCAGAGGGGACUGGGCAUGGAUGUGUUGGAACAUGAAACUUGAUCAGAAUUUUCUCAAACAAAAAAUUAAGGAUACUGCAAGCAAUUAAGAAUCAAAUUGGUUAAGAUUUUGAUAGAUUGUAGAAGCAACUGAGAUCUAUCUUUUAUCAAAUUUUGAGCUGAUUUGGCUCAGAAUUGAUCAAGUUGUUUGAUGAAAGAUAGGGAUUCUGCUGCAGCAGGCACCCAAACACCUUUUCUCAAAUAUCUCUCAAAUCUUGGUCAAUUUUGUUCAAAUUUGAAGCAGUCAUCGAUGGAGGCAGUAGGAAUCAAUUGAGAGCAUUAUCAUUCUUUGAUUCGAAGAAUUGGGCUCGUUCAGGGAAAGGCUUGUUGUUUUUUGUGUAAUUGCAGAACUUUUGUAGAAUAUUCUUGACUGUUUGUAUCAUUCUCUUGAUAGCUUCAUCUGUUUCUGAGUGAUAUGCUGUUGACAAUUUUCACUCAAUUCUUAGUAGCUGAC